UCGAGAAUCUUCCGCAAUGGACGAAAGUCUGACGGAGCGACGCCGCGUGCGGGAUGAAGGCCCUCGGGUUGUAAACCGCUGUCAGUGGGGUGGAAAUGCAUUGGGGUUCUCCCCAGUGUUUGACCUAACCGCAGAGGAAGUCCGGGCUAAGUACGUGCCAGCAGCCGCGGUAACACGUACCGGACGAACGUUAUUCGGAAUCACUGGGCUUAAAGAGUACGUAGGCGGCUUUGUAGGUGAGGUGUGAAAGCCCACGGCCUAACCGUGGAAUUGCGCUUCAAACCACAAAGCUUGAGGGAGACAGGGGUGAGCGGAACAGAUGGUGGAGCGGUGAAAUGCGUUGAUAUCAUCUGGAACACCGGUGGCGAAGGCGGCUCACUGGGUCUCUUCUGACGCUGAGGUACGAAAGCUAGGGUAGCGAACGGGAUUAGAUACCCCCGUAGUCC
rnacentral:rRNA from 1 species